rnacentral:misc_RNA from 1 species
CGAUUCGUUACCUUCUAAAUCAUAGUAAUUGGAGUAGACUGCUUCUAGAAUUAUCGAUUUUAUUUAAUUUGAUUAAUUAUCCAAAAUUAUUCACCUACAUUUAUAUUUCAAUCGGAAUAAAUAUACAUUUUUUCAUUUUAUAUGACAAUCGACAGUUUAUACAAUGUAUAACGUUAGACAAACGUACAUGCAUUAGUCGAACGUGAAAAUAAAAUACCUGCUCAAUCGAAUAGUGCUCUUUGUUUCACGGACCAUGAGUGCUCGUUCCCAAAAGUGUACGGCUUCAGGUCCACCCUGGGUACCUGCUUUUGUAUGCUUAAUAGCAACAUACGUGUCGUAAACACGGAACACGGUGCACAGGCAGUUAGCGAACACGAGAGUGCCUCUCUUCAGGUCUGACUCUGCCAUUGACCUAUACCCCUAGCUCGUUAGCCUUCGAGUCUCUUUGGCGGACAGCUUGCUCGUGGGUCCAAAAGGACUAUGUUUAAAGGGUCGAAACAGUUACUAAUUUGUUGCUCAGAUUUUAAAUACGGGCUAGAGUUAGUGUUUUAGGACACGGAAGGCUGAACUUUCAAAAUAAACAUUGAUGAGUUGUUAUACAAUUGAUGUAACUUCUAUAAAUAUUUAUGAAAAAUAUUUUAAAAAAUGAAACGCUAUAUUCUAACUAAUAAUAAGGAGGUUGGUAUAUAAGUUUAUCUUUACUAUAAAAUUUAAUUAUCGUUUAAUUUUCGCGCCAAAUGCUGGUCCUUCAGCAAAUCCAAUGUAAGUCAAUUAUGUUCAAAUUUUCCUAUAGCAGCUUCGGUAAUCGUUAUUCUUAAUCUCUUUAAGUACUUGGCUUUUUCGCAGAGAGUAAAACGAAGAAGGAUGGAAACAACAGAGCGCUUCUAUUUAUUGUAAAUAACAAAGUAGACAAUAACGAAGGAAGCAGAUGGCAAAAAUGAGAUGGACGCCGAUCGAACUGCACUGGAAGAGUGCGACGUGUGCCAGCAAUUUAGACAUACUGCGAUCGUUUGAAGAAGGUAACAGUGGCGGUUAAUGACGCAGAUUCUGGACAAAUAACAGAAACGAUAGCAGCUACGAACCUUUAAGUAGGUUAAAAC